ACCUAGCUGGCUUAGUCAGUGGAGCAUGUGACCCUUGAUCUCAGGGUUGUGAGUUCAAGCCCCACACUGGGUG
rfam:Felis catus isolate Cinnamon breed Abyssinian chromosome A2, whole genome shotgun sequence.